CUACGGGGUGCACCAGUGGGGAAUAUUGCACAAUGGGCGCAAGCCUGAUGCAGCCAUGCCGCGUGUAUGAAGAAGGCCUUCGGGUUGUAAAGUACUUUCAGCGGGGAGGAAGGGAGUAAAGUUAAUACCUUUGCUCAUUGACGUUACCCGCAGAAGAAGCACCGGCUAACUCCGUGCCAGCAGCCGCGGUAAUACGGAGGGUGCAAGCGUUAAUCGGAAUUACUGGGCGUAAAGCGCACGCAGGCGGUUUGUUAAGUCAGAUGUGAAAUCCCCGGGCUCAACCUGGGAACUGCCUCUGAUACUGGCAAGCUAGAGUAUCGUAGAGGGGGGUAGAAUUCCAGGUGUAGCGGUGAAAUGCGUAGAGAUCUGGAGGAAUACCGGUGGCGAAGGCGGCCCCCUGGACGAAGACUGACGCUCAGGUGCGAAAGCGUGGGGAGCAAACAGGAUUAGAUACCCUAGUAGUC
rnacentral:rRNA from 1 species